GACGAACGCUGGCGGCGUGCUUAACACAUGCAAGUCGAACGGAAAGGCCCUGCUGUUGUGGGGUGCUCGAGUGGCGAACGGGUGAGUAACACGUGAGUAACCUGCCCUUGACUUUGGGAUAACUUCAGGAAACUGGGGCUAAUACCGGAUAGGAGCUCCUGCUGCAUGGUGGGGGUUGGAAAGUUUCGGCGGUUGGGGAUGGACUCGCGGCUUAUCAGCUUGUUGGUGGGGUAGUGGCUUACCAAGGCUUUGACGGGUAGCCGGCCUGGGAGGGGGACCGGCCACAUUGGGAAUGAGAUACGGCCCAGACUCCUACGGGAGGCAGCAGUGGGGAAUAUUGCACAAUGGGCGGAAGCCUGAUGCAGCAACGCCGCGUGCGGGAUGACGGCCUUCGGGUUGUAAACCGCUUUCGCCUGUGACGAAGCGUGAGUGACGGUAAUGGGUAAAGAAGCACCGGCUAACUACGUG
rnacentral:rRNA from 1 species